UUGUUUCAGCAGCACAUAUAUUAAAAACUGGAAUGAUACAAAGAAGAUAAGCAUGGUACCUCUCAAGGAUGACACACAUUUGUGAAGCAUUCCAUAUUAUU
ensembl:snRNA U6 U6 spliceosomal RNA